rnacentral:rRNA from 1 species
UACGUAGGGGGGCAAGCGUUGUCCGGAUUUAUUGGGCGUAAAGCGCGUGUAGGCGGCUUGGCAAGUCCGCUGUGAAAACUCGAGGCUCAACCUCGAGAUGUCGGUGGAAACUGCCUGGCUAGAGUCCGGAAGAGGAGUGUGGAAUUCCUGGUGUAGCGGUGAAAUGCGCAGAUAUCUGGAGGAACACCGGUGGCGAAGGCGGCAUCCUGGACCGGCAUUGACGCUGAGGCGCGAAAGUGUGGGGAGCGAACAGGAUUGAGAACCGUACGUCGAGUCCAAGAUCCAGUCUGCACCGAC